GUUGACCUCGGGUCGGACGAGAUUACCCGCUGAACUUAAGCAUAUCAAUAAGCGGAGGAAAAGAAACCAACAGGGAUUGCCUUAGUAACGGCGAGUGAAGCGGCAACAGCCCAGAUUUG
rnacentral:rRNA from 1 species